UACAGGUGUUAGCCUUAAUUCAGUCAGAUUUUCAGGUGUAAUAUCAUGAGUAGUUCAUAUUAAUAGUUAUUAAAACAAUGAAAGUGUUUCCAUUUUAAUUUCAAUUUCCAUUGUUUCAUCUCAUCGUUAAAGUCACCAGCAGCCAUCAUAAUAGUUAUGGAGUCAUUAUUCGCAAACAUUAUAGCUGUAAUACUAUUUUUAAUAUUUUUAGUGUUGUAUUAUGCAAAAAUACCUCAAUGCUAUUGGCAUCAAAUUAAACAACUCUGGUCGCCAGACGAUAUUCAGUGGUUGAACGAGAAAUUCCAAAACAAGCACACAAACUCAUUCGGUUUUAUAAGGAAUUUACCUCUUAAUGGCUCAGAUUCAGUGACACUGACAAACAGACAAGCAAGAAAUUUAAAUUGCAAUUUGGAAGCUUAUUAUACAAUAAGAUUACCUGGUACUAUCACGAUUUUUUCAAGGAGACCAUUAUUUGACCAAUACAAGCAUUUUUUCAGUAACUGUUAUUAUACCGAAAAUGAUGUUACAUUUUAUGACUACAAGCCAAAAGAGAGGACAAUUGCCAAGCGCAAACAAAGAUUGUUUGUGGGUUUCGCACGUCUUGAAGGGGAACCAUUGAAAGUCCAUGUGUUCCAUCAAAAUUGUUAUUGGUGGCUUUUAACUUUGUACACAGGACUCAUGUCUUUUUUGUUCAUGUUGUUCAAUUUUACAUGGUUCUGCAUUCAAUCGUUACCUGUGAUAUUUUCCCUAUCUAUUAGCUUUUUAAGUUUUAGCUAUAAAUUAAUUAGUCUGCCAUUCAAUGCAGGUGGAUACUUACUUCGGUUUCUAAUUUCAAGAGCUUGUUAAUAGAGUUGAAGGAAAAAUAUCGAUAUUUAGUAUAUCGAAUCAAUCGAUAUAUCACAUAAUCAUUUUAUAAUAAAAGUUUUAUUUCAACAAAA